rnacentral:tRNA from 1 species
GGGUGUGUGGCGCAACGGAUAAGGCGUCUGACUACGGAUCAGAAGAUUCCAGGUUCGAAUCCUGGUACGCUCG